AAGCCAUGCAUGUCUAAGUGCAAACCGUCUCGUACGGUGAAACCGCGAAAGGCUCAUUAAAUCAGUUAUGGUUCCUUAGAUCGUACGCACGUUACUUGGAUAACUGUGGUAAUUCUAGAGCUAAUACAUGCCGACAGAGUUCCGACCAAUGGGGCGCGCUUCGCGGCGCGUCUUGUUCGGAAGGAACGCUUUUAUUAGAUCGAAACCGGCCAGGUGGCAGUUGCCGGGCGCUUCGGCGUCCGGUCGCUGUCGCGAACGGCUCGCGCAAAGAAUUGACGAAUCUGAAUAACUUUGGCUGAUCGCACGGUCUCAGCACCGGCGAUGUAUCUUUCAAAUGUCUGCCUUAUCAACUGUCGACGGUAGUUUCGACGCCUACCGUGGUGGUAACGGGUAACGGGGAAUCAGGGUUCGAUUCCGGAGAGGGAGCCUGAGAAACGGCUACCACAUCCAAGGAAGGCAGCAGGCGCGUAAAUUACCCACUCCCGGCACGGGGAGGUAGUGACGAAAAAUAACGAUACGGGACUCAUUUGAGGCCCCGUAAUCGGAAUGAACACAGCGUAAAAACUUGGUCCC
rnacentral:rRNA from 1 species